UACGUAUGGUGCAAGCGUUAUCCGGAAUGACUGGGUGUAAAGGGAGCGUAGACGGUCGUACAAGUCUGAUGUGAAAGCCCACGGCUCAACUGUGGGAGUGCAUUGGAAACUGUAGAACUAGAGUAUCGGAGAGGCAAGUGGAAUUCCUAGUGUAGCGGUGAAAUGCGUAGAUAUUAGGAGGAACACCAGUGGCGAAGGCGGCUUGCUGGACGAAAACUGACGUUGAGGCUCGAAAGCGUGGGGAGCAAACAGG
rnacentral:rRNA from 1 species